AGAGUUUGAUCCUGGCUCAGAGCGAACGCUGGCGGCAGGCUUAACACAUGCAAGUCGAACGGAAAGGCCCUUUCGGGGGUACUCGAGUGGCGAACGGGUGAGUAACACGUGGGUGAUCUGCCCUGCACUUUGGGAUAAGUCUGGGAAACUGGGUCUAAUACCGGAUAGGACUACGCGAUGCAUGUCGUGUGGUGGAAAGCUUUUGCGGUGUGGGAUGGGCCCGCGGCCUAUCAGCUUGUUGGUGGGGUGAUGGCCUACCAAGGCGACGACGGGUAGCCGGCCUGAGAGGGUGACCGGCCACACUGGGACUGAGAUACGGCCCAGACUCCUACGGGAGGCAGCAGUGGGGAACAUUGCACAAUGGGCGCAAGCCUGAUGCAGCGACGCCGCGUGAGGGAUGACGGCCUUCGGGUUGUAAACCUCUUUCAGUGCCGACGAAGCGCAAGUGACGGUAGGCAUAGAAGAAGGACCGGCCAACUACGUGCCAGCAGCCGCGGUAAUACGUAGGGUCCGAGCGUUGUCCGGAAUUACUGGGCGUAAAGAGCUCGUAGGUGGUUUGUCGCGUUGUUCGUGAAAACUCACAGCUCAACUGUGGGCGCGCGGGCGAUACGGGCAGACUUGAGUACUGCAGGGGAGACUGGAAUUCCUGGUGUAGCGGUGGAAUGCGCAGAUAUCAGGAGGAACACCGGUGGCGAAGGCGGGUCUCUGGGCAGUAACUGACGCUGAGGAGCGAAAGCGUGGGGAGCGAACAGGAUUAGAUACCCUGGUAGUCC
rnacentral:rRNA from 1 species